CAGUGAGGGUGAGUGCAAGAGAUACAUCAAUAUGAGGUAUCAAACUGAGGCUUAGAUGUUCCUUUUAAGUGGCUGCUCAUUUCCUUGAGCCAUAACAUGGGCUAAAGGUUAACUUACACAUUCUCUGUGGAAGAACAGUUUCUUUUUUGGGAAGGGAGAAGGAGGGGGGAAGGGCGUUGUUUCGUGUUCUUUCCUACCUAUAGACUAAAUGUAAUUGUACAGUGCUGUUCAUGCAGAUUUUUUUUUUUUUUCUCCCCACUGGAUUAUUUGCUAAUCAGACUUCAGUGCAGUGGCGAUAAGAGAGAGACUGUUGCCUAGCUCGGAGGCUCUGCCGAGCGCCCGAGCCCUGGAGCUGAGGACCGAAGCAGCUGCCGCUCUCCGGCUCCUGGCGUCUCUCCGCUCCCGUCCUCUCGCCCCCGCCAAUGGGCCUAGCGCGGGGGAGCUGUCCGAGGUGCUAGGAUGCUGGCUGCGCGGGGGGUCAGGGCAGCCGGAUUGCAGCAGGAGAGGAGCCCCACAGUCCUGCUGGCACCCGAAGGUAGGCUUGCUCUUUGUUUGAGAAUCCCUGAUUAAUCAACAGUAGCAUCAACAGACUAAGGCAGCUGGAGAGAGCAAGCCUGCCUGUAGUCACGGGGGAGAGAGAGAGAGAGACGAUGCCACAAGCUAGACUGCCUCAGACCUUCUGUAUUUAAGUGGCAAUGAGAGAGCGAGCGUCUUUCCUGCUGCAAGAAGCCAUUUGGAUAGGAUGUUUUCUAUUCCUUAUAUUCCGUUCUUUUUGUCUCCACAGAACAUAUUCAAAUGAGGCACCUUAGAAAUCUCUGUGUUAGUGCAUAUGAUGGUGCCGUAAUCUUCUAUGUUGUAAAGUGGGUAAAAAUCAUCCAGUUUCUUCUCUGCUGGACCUCAAAGCAGGGUGUUGUUUAUACCCUCCCAUUAUCUGUACCCUCUCUUCUCUGAAUGUGGAUUUAAAGAAGCAAGCACCUGUCUUCUCUUGCCACUGCAUUUUUUAAAAGCCAAACUUUCCAUGCCAUUUUAAUCGUGUGUUAAGAAGAUCUGUAACGUAACACACUGACUUAUAGUGAUGUCGAAUUCUACAAUCUGGGCAAUUUUGCCAACAAGAUUUAAUGCACUUUAACUGAAGAAAAAACUGAGCCUAACUGCAAAUCUGUUUCUUAUGGUGCUGAAAUAUCCCUUCCGACUGCACUGAGAUAACCACAGGAAAGGGCUUUUACAGGCAAAAGUCACCUUUGAUUAUUGCACUUAGCAGUCCCCGUGGACUUAAAUUUUGGAAACGUUGCUUUCCUUUGUUCAUUAUCUCCUGCAAGAUGAUGAGUUCUAAUCAGGAGGAGGUCACUUUGGGCGCUUUUCUCCAGUAUAUUGAAGAUAUGGGGAUGAAGGCCUAUGAUGGCUUGGUUAUACAGAAUGCAUCAGACAUUGCUCGAGAGAAUGAUCGCAUGAGGAAUGAAACAAACCUGGCUUACUUGAAAGAAAAGAGUGAAAAACGCCGAAAACAAGAAGAAGCAAUAAAACGCAUAGGUGGAGAGGUAGUGAGAGGAAAUGAAGGAGGCUAUGUGGGGAAGCAUUUCCGCAUGGGAUUUAUGACAAUGCCUGCUCCUCAGGACAGACUGCCACAUCCUUGCUCCAGUGGCUUUACCGUGAGAUCCCAGUCUCUUCAUUCUGUUGGAGGAACCGAUGAUGAAAGUAGCAGCUCUCGUAAGCAGCCACCUCCAAAACCUAAGAGAGACCCCAACACCAAACUGAGCACCUCAUCUGAAACAGUCAACACUGGAACAACAAGUAAAAGUGGGAAACUACCGGACAGGACUGAAGUGUCAGCCAAACCAAGACCUCACAGUGAUGAAUACACAAAGAAGAUUCCACCUCCUAAGCCGAAACGAAAUCCAAACACUCAGCUAAGCACAUCUUUUGAUGAAACGUAUAUCAAAAAGCAUGGCCCUAUGAAGACAACACUCACUAGGGAUGCCUCUUUAUCGCAGGUCAGCAGUCCCGCCCCAGACACAGAGGAAGAAGAGCCUGUUUAUAUUGAGAUGGUUGGGAAUAUUCUCAGAGACUUCAAAAAAGACGAGGAUGACCAAAGCGAAGCAGUCUAUGAAGAGAUGAAAUACCCUAUAUUUGAUGAUGUAGGCCAAGAAUCAAAAUGUCAAUGUGAAUAUGACCAUCACACUUGUUCUUCUCAGUGUGCUACUCCCACAGUGCCUGACCUAGAUUUCACCAAGUCUUCAGUGCCAUCUACUCCCAAGGGCUUGCUUUGUGAUAUACCCCCACCAUUUCCAAAUCUGCUUUCUCACAGACCUCCACUGCUGGUGUUCCCACCAGCACCAGUGCAGUGUUCCCCGAAUUCUGACGAGUCUCCUCUAACUCCACUAGAGGUCACAAAGCUUCCUGUUUUAGAAAAUGUGUCUUACAUCAAACAACAAGCUGGAGCUUCUCCAUCUUCACUGCCACCUCACACAUCAGGCCAUCAAAAACUGGAGAAAGACCAGACAGUAUCUCAUGGAACUAGCACCCCUGGGCACACUUCCUCACCUCCUCAUCCAUCUACCCUAUACAGAACACAGUCUCCGCAUGGUUAUCCUAAAAGUCACUCUGCCUCACCUUCUCCUGUCAGUAUGGGUAGGUCUCUUACCCCCUUAAGCCUCAAAAGACCUCCACCUUAUGACUCUGUACAUUCAGGAAGUCUCUCAAGAAGCUCUCCAUCAGUGCCUCAUUCUACAGCCAGAAACACGUUGCAAGAAGGAGGAAAGAUGGUAAAUGCCUCAGUCAGUACCUACGGGUCAUCAUCUCAGAGUGGUUCCCGUUCUCGGACACCCACCAGUCCUCUGGAGGAACUAACCAGCCUCUUUACCUCAGGACGAAGUCUCCUGAGGAAGUCCUCCAGUGGCAGAAGAUCUAAGGAACCUGCAGAAAAACCACUGGAUGAGCUGAAGAUCAGAAGUCACAGCACUGAACCACUACCAAAGCUGGAAAACAAAGAGAGGGGAGUCCAUCAUGGGACAGCUUCCUCCAGGGAGCCAGGGAAAGCUCAGGAAUGGGAUGGAACGCCAGGCCCGCCUGUGGUGUCCAGCAGGCUGGGGAGAUCCUCUGUCAGUCCAACCAUGUUGGCUGGAAGCAACAGCUCAGAGCCUAAAGCAAGUUGCAGGUUAGGUCGGUCUGCGUCAACAUCAGGUGUGCCUCCUCCAUCCGUUACUCCGCUCAGGCAAGCCAGUGAUCUUCAGCCGAGCCAGGUGACGUGUAUGCAGUGGUUGCAAGGGGACCAUACAAUGCUGGAUAUGAUUGAGAAAAAACGUUGCCUCUGCAAAGAAAUAAAAGCUCGACAGAAAUCAGAAAAAGGACUCUGCAAACAGGACAGCAUGCCUAUUUUGCCAAGUUGGAAAAAGAAUACCGGGACCAAGAAAUACAGCCCUCCUCCUUAUUCCAAGCAACAAACUGUUUUCUGGGACACUGCAAUUUGACAGGCGUGUGGAGGAUGCCCUCUCCACUGUGUGGCACCGAGCACAGGUAGCCUGCUUUUUUAAUAAGGCAAAGGCUCUAACCUAAGACUUACCUGCAGGUGGUGAACUUCCUAGGAAAAAACCACAACGAUACAGUGCUCACCUGUCAAUCAAGAGAGAGAUUUAAGUUUCUGACUGGAUUAAGGCGUACAUAUUUAUCCAGGAUUUUUUUGGAUCCAGAAGAUAUCAAAAUAAAGAAAAUGGCAGAAGAAAAACUCCAGAGAUCUCGCAAAGUUCCAGAAUCUGCUGGAAAGAAGACGACUUGUUGGUCAUGAGAAAUCUGUUGAGAUAACAGGUUCAUUAUUCAGAAAGUGUUUAUGCUUUGUCUUCCUUGUUACGUGGCAAGAGAAGAGUUUUUCAUAACCAUGUGUGAAAUACUUUGCUCAGCCCUUUCCCCCAGCUGCACCAAGUCUCUGGUGACAAAACGAAAGCCGGCAUUCAGUCAGUCUUGAUACUCCUCUGCACUGAUAUCUUCCUGGAGCAAUUACUUUAAAAAGCCUGCUACCGAAGCGUCGAUUUUGCAGUCCAGACCCAUGGCGGGUACGCAUGGGCGCUGCAGUGCCAGGCCCUUUGAGGGAAGGCAAACGUUAAUGUAAACAGUUACAUGUUUAAUAGUGUUUGUUCAUAUUGUGUCCUUUUCAUAUUGAUAUGUAAUAGGAAUAAUGAUCAGGGAAUUGAACCAUUCUUGUCCUAAGCAGACUUGCUUGUAUGCUUAGCCAACCAUGAAACCACUCCUUGUUUUGCUUUUAUUGCUCAACACUGUUUAUGUUGUCCUUCCUAAAAAACUGCCCACGUGCUUCCAGACCUCCAUUGUAUCCCAUGGAAACAAUGGCUUCUUGUUUUAACGUGCGACAGUACAUGAAAAAGUAAAAUAUAACUUAGCACUUACCUUCAAAGCACUUUAGAAAUGUGAACUAAACCUCACGCUUGCGAGAAUCGUUUUACAGAGGAGGGAAGUGAGGCUCAGGUGGAGUAGUUUCCAAAGGUCAUGGACAGAGCCAGAGCAAGACAUACGCCGCCAUCCUGUCCCGUGACUGCUGGCCCACCCCAUCGCUCAAGUAAAAAGUGCAUCGUACUGCCGAGAGCAUGCCAUCAAAAUGCUGUUAAACAUUUUCUGCAUCACCUAUUGUCUCAGCAGUUUCUGUGUCACAGGGUGAAUGACAGUGCUUAGUUACACACGGUCAUUAAAGCUAUAGUCUGUACAAAUAUGCAAUCUGUAUAUACAUACAGAUCACAUAUAUACACACACUUACGAGGACUGUAUAUAUGAAAUUGUUUGGUAUGCACUUAUUUUGCUUUAAACUCCUGAAGUUAAACAUUAUAGUGUAGCAAUUUGUGUAAAGUGCACUGUGAUUUCAAGAAAGCACAGUAAAGUCACAGGUCUUGUUAUUCUUGCACUAAAAAUGUGUUUACGUAUACUAGCCAAUGUAUGUCUACUUUAUUGCUCCUUUUGACAAAUUAAAGCAAAUGGUAUAAAAUGGUAUGGGGUUUUUUGGUUUGGGUUGUUUAUUUUUAAGUGGACAAUGGCACUAUGUUUUUAAAUGACAGGGUUUUUAAAUAAAAUGAAAUCAUUCUGUGUUCAUUCCAAUGUAAUACAUUUACCAAUAUCUUGAAAUUGAAUGUCAUGUUGCUUUUUUUCAUAUUUCAUUAGAAAUUGUCAGGUAUGUGCCUGAGAUUGUGUAGGAGUAAGGAGUAGCUAGAGGCUAACUGUAAUCAUAUAUUAUUAGCCGUUUCUAUAUACACAGUAUAAAUACAUAUUAAUUUUCUUUUCAUUUUUGUACUUGAUUUUUUUAGGUAAGAUGUAAUUAAAUGUACUUUGAUACUUCUGAAGUAAUAAGACGUUGUUUGAAGAUCAAUUCUGCUUUCUUUAGUGCAUUGACAAUAUUUUACAAUAAUUUAGUGCUUAUUUAUUUGUGCUCCGGUGUAAUUAUAAUAAAAAGCAAUAGUUUAAAAUA